AAACCAGCACCUCAAGUGGUCAGGAGGAUUAUUGGGCCUAAAGCAUCCGUAGCCUGUUCUGUAAGUUUUCGGUUAAAUCCAUUAGCUCAACUAAUGGGCUGCCGAAAAUACUGUAGAACUAGGGAGUGGGAGAGGUAGACGGUAUUCGGUAGGAAGGGGUAAAAUCCUUUGAUCUAUUGAGGACCACCUGUGGCGAAGGCGGUCUACCAGAACACGUUCGACGGUGAGGGAUGAAAGCGGGGGGAGCAAACCGGAUUAGAAACCCGUGUAGUCC
rnacentral:rRNA from 1 species